UGCCAGACUCCUACGGGAGGCAGCAGUGAGGAAUAUUGGUCAAUGGGCGGGAGCCUGAACCAGCCAAGUCGCGUGAGGGAAGACGGUCCUACGGAUUGUAAACCUCUUUUGCCGGGGAGCAACGGGGUCCUUGCGAGGGCCCGAUGAGAGUACCCGGAGAAAAAGCAUCGGCUAACUCCGUGCCAGCAGCCGCGGUAAUACGGAGGAUGCGAGCGUUAUCCGGAUUUAUUGGGUUUAAAGGGUGCGUAGGCGGGCUGGUAAGUCAGGGGUCAAAGGGCGGGGCUCAACCCCGGCCUGCCGUUGAAACUGGCGCUCUUGAGUGGAAGAGAAGUAUGCGGAAUGCGUGGUGUAGCGGUGAAAUGCAUAGAUAUCACGCAGAACCCCGAUUGCGAAGGCAGCAUGCCGGCUUCCGACUGACGCUGAAGCACGAAAGCGUGGGGAUCGAACAGGAUUAGAUACCCUAGUA
rnacentral:rRNA from 1 species